rnacentral:rRNA from 1 species
GACGAACGCUGGCGGCGUGCUUAACACAUGCAAGUCGAACGGAAAGGCCCUGCUUGCCGGGUACUCGAGUGGCGAACGGGUGAGUAACACGUGGGUGAUCUGCCCUGCACUUCGGGAUAAGCCUGGGAAACUGGGUCUAAUACCGGAUAGGAGCCAUUUUUAGUGUGAUGGUUGGAAAGUUUUUUCGGUGUAGGAUGAGCUCGCGGCCUAUCAGCUUGUUGGUGGGGUAAUGGCCUACCAAGGCGGCGACGGGUAGCCGGCCUGAGAGGGUGGACGGCCACAGUGGGGCGGGGAGGCGGCCCGGACCCCUCCGGGGGGAGGGAGGGGGGAGAUUGGCACAAGGGGCGAAGGCCGGAGGCGGCGAGGCGGGGGGGGGGAUGACGGCCUUGGGGUUGAAACCUCCUUUGCCGAGGGACAAGGCUUUUUGUGACGGUACCUAAAUAAGAAACCCCGGCUAACUCCGUG